UGUGUAGGCGGUCGUUUAAGUUCGGUGUGAAAUCUCCCGGCUCAACCGGGAGGGAGCGCCGGAAACUGAGCGACUGGAGUGCGGGAGAGGAGAGCGGAAUUCCUGGUGUAGCGGUGAAAUGCGUAGAUAUCAGGAGGAACACCGGUGGUGCAGACGGCUCUCUGGACCGUAACUGACGCUGAGACACGAAAGCGUGGGUAGCAAACAGGAUUAGAUACCCUGGUAGUCCACGCCCUAAACGAUGCAUAUUUGGUGUGGGCAGUUCAUUCUGUCCGUGCCGGAGCUAACGCGUUAAAUAUGCCGCCUGGGGAGUACAGUCGCAAGGCUAGAA
rnacentral:rRNA from 1 species